GACGAACGCUGGCGGCGUGCUUAACACAUGCAAGUCGAACGGAAAGGCCCUGCUUUUGUGGGGUGCUCGAGUGGCGAACGGGUGAGUAACACGUGAGUAACCUGCCCUUGACUUUGGGAUAACUUCAGGAAACUGGGGCUAAUACCGGAUAGGAGCUCCUGCUGCAUGGUGGGGGUUGGAAAGUUUCGGCGGUUGGGGAUGGACUCGCGGCUUAUCAGCUUGUUGGUGGGGUAGUGGCUUACCAAGGCUUUGCCGGGUAGCCGGCCUGCGAGGGUGACCGGCCAAAUUGGGACUGAGAUACGGCCCAGACUACGACGGGAGGCAGAAGUGGGGAAUAUUGCACAAUGGGCGGAAGCCUGAUGCAGCAACGCCGCGUGCGGGAUGACGGCCUUCGGGUUGUAAACCGAUGUCGCCUGUGACGAAGCGUGAGUGACGGUAAUGGGUAAAGAAGCACCGGCUAACUACGUG
rnacentral:rRNA from 1 species